GCCAGCAUGGCAUCGUGGUUUGAGUGCUGGAUUAAGACUCUGGAGACCAGGGUUCGAAUCCCCAUUGAGCCA